UACGUAGGGGGCUAGCGUUGUCCGGAUUUAUUGGGCGUAAAGAGCGUGUAGGCGGCCAGGUAGGUCCGUUGUGAAAACUCGAGGCUCAACCUCGAGACGUCGGCGGAAACCCUCUGGCUAGAGUCCGGAAGAGGAGAGUGGAAUUCCUGGUGUAGCGGUGAAAUGCGCAGAUAUCAGGAAGAACACCCGUGGCGAAGGCGGCUCUCUGGGACGGUACUGACGCUGAGGUGCGAAAGCGUGGGGAGCGAACAGG
rnacentral:rRNA from 1 species